GUACACACCGCCCGUCGCUACUACCGAUUGAAUGGUUUAGUGAGAUCUUCGGAUUGGUCCGGAGGUGGCCGCGAGGUUGCCUCUAGGUUCCGAGAAGAUGAUCAAACUUGAUCAUUUAGAGGAAGUAAAAGUCGUAACAAGGUUUCUGUAGGUGAACCUGCAGAAGGAUCA
rnacentral:rRNA from 1 species